rnacentral:rRNA from 1 species
AUGACGAAGCGCUACGAACUAGAUUUCAGAGAGAGGGUUGGGAGGAUGGGAUACAAGGUGCAGACAUCAGUGAAGAACUUCCAGAUGACUUUGGAGGUAAAAAUUGUGCCUGAACUAGAUCCGGCCGCUGCGGCCAGUGCCCCGACCAGAUCCUGA